UGAUCCCAUGGCUCAGAUUGAACGCUGGCGGCAGGCCUAACACAUGCAAGUCGAGCGGAUGAAGAGAGCUUGCUCUCUGAUUCAGCGGCGGACGGGUGAGUAAUGCCUAGGAAUCUGCCUGGUAGUGGGGGACAACGUCUCGAAAGGGACGCUAAUACCGCAUACGUCCUACGGGAGAAAGCAGGGGACCUUCGGGCCUUGCGCUAUCAGAUGAGCCUAGGUCGGAUUAGCUAGUUGGUGAGGUAAUGGCUCACCAAGGCGACGAUCCGUAACUGGUCUGAGAGGAUGAUCAGUCACACUGGAACUGAGACACGGUCCAGACUCCUACGGGAGGCAGCAGUGGGGAAUAUUGGACAAUGGGCGAAAGCCUGAUCCAGCCAUGCCGCGUGUGUGAAGAAGGUCUUCGGAUUGUAAAGCACUUUAAGUUGGGAGGAAGGGCAUUAACCUAAUACGUUAGUGUUUUGACGUUACCGACAGAAUAAGCACCGGCUAA
rnacentral:rRNA from 1 species